GAUGAACGCUGGCGGCGUGCCUAAUACAUGCAAGUCGAGCGAACAGACGAGGAGCUUGCUCCUCUGACGUUAGCGGCGGACGGGUGAGUAACACGUGGAUAACCUACCUAUAAGACUUGGAUAACUUCGGGAAACCGGAGCUAAUACCGGAUAACAUGUUGAACCGCAUGGUUCAACAGUUCAAGACGGUCUUGCUGUCACUUAUAGAUGGAUCCGCGCCGCAUUAGCUAGUUGGUAAGGUAACGGCUUACCAAGGCAACGAUGCGUAGCCGACCUGAGAGGGUGAUCGGCCACACUGGAACUGAGACACGGUCCAGACUCCUACGGGAGGCAGCAGUAGGGAAUCUUCCGCAAUGGGCGAAAGCCUGACGGAGCAACGCCGCGUGAGUGAAGAAGGUCUUCGGAUCGUAAAACUCUGUUAUUAGGGAAGAACAAAUGUGUAAGUAACUAUGCACGUCUUGACGGUACCUAAUCAGAAAGCCACGGCUAACUACGUG
rnacentral:rRNA from 1 species